rnacentral:lncRNA from 1 species
AAAUGACCAUCCACAAACAAGAAAACUCCCAGUAAAAGACACUGGAUUAUGUGUAUUCCUGUGAACAGAAAAAAAUUCAGCUGCAAGCCUGUGGCAUUCAAUUUCAUCUUUCAGGAAUUUUCUUCAUAUUCACAAAUGAAUAGACAUUAUUCAGCUUUUGUCUGCAAAUGAUAAAACAAAGCCAGCACCAGGAAACAGAGCCAAGGAGAAGAACAGCCUUGAACGCGGAAGAACACGCGGAUGCGAUGUGGCUGAGAUGUCAGAAAUAGAACUGCAGCAGUUUGGCAUGAAGUAUCAGAGAGAGCAAGAGUAUACAGCAAAAAUUAAGUGUUUAACCUACCACCAUCUUAAUGGGAAAACAUAUGAAGCAAAUUAUUUAAACAGAGCUUAUUUUAGGAACAAUACAUUGUUUAAGAAAAAAACCCAUCUGCCUGUGAAAAAUUUCUGCCAAAAGAUAUCCUGUCCUUCAGUGGUAAGGCUGCUGUUUCUUCCCCUCUCUUUCCUUUGCCCCCACUAUUGGGAUCCUCAGCAUCUCUGGCUCAUGGACCUCAGUGAAGCAGCUGUUUAAAUUGCCCACAUGGUUCCUGAAUGGAGGCCAGAAAAAAAUGUAGUUUAAGUCUUUCUAAGUCCAGAUAUUACAGUUAACAGAGGCAUGGUGCAAAGCCUGAGCAAGGCAGCUUGUGGGAAUAGGGACCACUCACCUCUGUCACAGUGCUAAAGGCACUGGGUUUCUAAUCCUUAUGUGCUUUAAUGUUGCAUAAACAGAGACCUCCCAGUGCCUGGUGAACAAGAGCAGUUUUGGUGCAUACAGCAACUGCUCUACAUUUACAGCCCCAAUUCAGCUUGUUUAGACAUCCACAAGUUGCAUGCGAAUGGGUUUGUUCCCAUUCCCCUGCUGCAUUCCUGUCCCUUCUGUCCCUGAAUGCUGCUGCACUGGAUGACAAACAACUCCCACAUUAAAGGCAAGCUAAAGGUCACAGUGCUGCUGAAGGCACAGCCACUCCAUUUCAUC